rnacentral:sRNA from 1 species
GCAUGCGCAGACGGACCUGCGCUGGAGGCUUCAUCUUUGCCGCCGCUGCCGCCGCCUUCCUGGGAUUUGAGUCUCGAGCUUUCUUCGUUCGCUGGCCGGCGGGUUCGCGCCCUUCUCGCGCCUCGGGGCUGCGAGGCUGGGGAAGGGGUUGGAGGGGGCUGUUGAUCGCCGCGUUUAAGUUGCGCUCGGGGCGGCCCAUGGGACGUGCAUGUGCACAGUGAUUUGGCAAAGGACCUAGAUGAAAAUGAAGUUGAAAGGCCAGAGGAAGAAAAUGCCAGUGCUAAUCCUCCAUCUGGAAUUGAAGAUGAAACUGCUGAAAAUGGUGUACCAAAACCGAAAGUAACUGAGACCGAAGAUGAUAGUGAUAGUGACAGUGAUGAUGAUGAAGAUGAUGUUCAUGUCACUAUAGGAGACAUUAAAACGGGAGCACCACAGUAUGGGAGUUAUGGUACAGCACCUGUAAAUCUUAACAUCAAGACAGGGGGAAGAGUUUAUGGAACUACAGGAACAAAAGUCAAAGGAGUAGACCUUGAUGCACCUGGAAGCAUUAAUGGAGUUCCACUCUUAGAGGUAGAUUUGGAU